CUGAAAAUCCUCUUUUCUGGAAUGCAUCAACAGAAACUCUCACUUCCACGAACCGGAAGUGUAAGAAUGCUGUUAGGAUUUGAAACUGUUACUGCAUUGAACAUGGCAGUUGGAGCAACCUGAACUUGUGUCCCUGGGCUACGGCCACUCAUAGUUAUCUCCAGGGAGAUCAUCACUAUCAUCAUCAUCAUCAUCAUCAUCAUCAUCAUCAUCAUCAUAUCAUCAUCAUGUUUAAGAAAUAAUUUUUCCAGCCAGGCAGAGUGGUACACACCUGUUAUCCAAGUACUCAGAGAGGCAGAGGCAGUUGGAUCUCUGUGAGUUCAAGGUGUGGGAUGUGGGACUGAUUCAGAUGGUCCACAGAAGCAGACUAUUUGCCUCAUGCGGGCUCUGAGAGGAGCUGUUUGCCAGCUGCAGAUAGUUUAAAUCUGAGGACUCUGGAGAGAGAAUAAAUGCCAGAGCCCAGACAGUAUGGGGCUCCAAGAAAGAGCAAGGCUGCUCCUGCUUCCCCCUGUGGCUCCUGGCUGACAAGAAGUUGGAGAUCUCCUGGAACAAAGAGUGGACUGCCUGCAAGGAGCCUGAUGACCCUAACCAGUAGGAAGCAUCUAAGAAAGAGAGCUCUGCACCCUCACCCACUAACCAUUUCUCUCUCCUACCUGGUGUUGGGAUGUUGGAAGGGACU